rnacentral:rRNA from 1 species
AGCGAACGCUGGCGGCAGGCUUAACACAUGCAAGUCGAGCGGGCCCUUCGGGGUCAGCGGCAGACGGGUGAGUAACGCGUGGGAACGUGCCCUUCGGUUCGGCAUAACUCAGGGAAACUUGAGCUAAUACCGGAUACGCCCUUAUGGGGAAAGGCUUGCUGCCGAAGGAUCGGCCCGCGUCUGAUUAGCUAGUUGGUGAGGUUAUGGCUCACCCAGGCGACGAUCAGUAGCUGGUCUGAGAGGAUGAUCAGCCACACUUGGACUGAGGCACGGCCCCGACUCCUACGCGAGGGAGCAGUGGGGAGUAGAGGACGCUGGGGGCAGGCCUGAUCCAGCCGUGCCGCGUAAGAGAUGAUGCCCGUAGGGUUGGAAUUUUCGUGUCGCAGGGGCGAAAGUGACGGUACCGGAAGAAAAAGCCCCGGCUAACUACGUG